rnacentral:rRNA from 1 species
AGCAGCCGCGGUAAUUCCAGCUCCAAUAGCGUAUAUUAAAGUUGUUGCAGUUAAAAAGCUCGUAGUUGAAUUUCGGGAUCAAAGAAUCGGUCAUGCCUUGGUAUGUACUGGUUUUAUUGGUUCUCACCUUCUAAAGAACCAUGAUGUCAUUCAUUUGAUGUUAUGGGGAAUUAGGACUGUUACCUUGAAAAAUUAGAGUGUUUAAAGCAAGCUUACGCUUGAAUACAUUAGCAUGGAAUAAUGAAAUAGGACAUCAGAUUCUAUUUUGUUGGUUUCUAGGAUCGAUGUAAUGAUUAAUAGGGAUAGUUGGGGGCAUUAGUAUUCAAUUGUCAGAGGUGAAAUUCUUGGAUUUAUUGAAGACUAACUACUGCGAAAGCAUUUGCCAAGGAUGUUUUCAUUAAUCAAGAACGAAAGUUAGGGGAUCGAAGACGAUCAGAUACCGUCGUAGUCUUAACCAUAAACUAUGCCG